GAUGAACGCUGGCGGCGUGCCUAAUACAUGCAAGUCGAGCGAACAGACGAGGAGCUUGCUCCUCUGACGUUAGCGGCGGACGGGUGAGUAACACGUGGAUAACCUACCUAUAAGACUGGGAUAACUUCGGGAAACCGGCGCUAAUACCGGAUAAUAUAUUGAACCGCAUGGUUCAAUAGUGAAAGACGGUUUUGCUGUCACUUAUAGAUGGAUCCGCGCCGCAUUAGCUAGUUGGUAAGGUAACGGCUUACCAAGGCGACGAUGCGUAGCCGACCUGAGAGGGUGAUCGGCCACCCUGGAACUGAGCCACGGUCCAGACUCCUACGGGAGGCAGCAGUAGGGAAUCUUCCGCAAUGGGCGAAAGCCUGACGGAGCAACGCCGCGUGAGUGAUGAAGGUCUUCGGAUCGUAAAACUCUGUUAUUAGGGAAGAACAAAUGUGUAAGUAACUAUGCACGUCUUGACGGUACCUAAUCAGAAAGCCACGGCUAACUACGUG
rnacentral:rRNA from 1 species